ACGCUNUAAACGAUGUCGACUUGGAGGUUGUGCCCUUGAGGCGUGGCUUCCGGAGCUAACGCGUUAAGUCGACCGCCUGGGGAGUACGGCCGCAAGGUUAAAACUCAAAUGAAUUGACGGGGGCCCGCACAAGCGGUGGAGCAUGUGGUUUAAUUCGAUGCAACGCGAAGANCCUUACCUACUCUUGACAUCCACGGAACUUGCCAGAGAUGGCUUGGUGCCUUCGGGAACCGUGAGACAGGUGCUGCAUGGCUGUCGUCAGCUCGUGUUGUGAAAUGUUGGGUUAAGUCCCGCAACGAGCGCAACCCUUAUCCUUUGUUGCCAGCACUUCGGGUGGGAACUCAAGGGAGACUGCCGGUGAUAAACCGGAGGAAGGUGGGGAUGACGUCAAGUCAUCAUGGCCCUUACGGCCAGGGCUACACACGUGCUACAAUGGCGCGUACAGAGGGCUGCAAGCUAGCGAUAGUGAGCGAAUCCCAAAAAGCGCGUCGUAGUCCGGAUUGGAGUCUGCAACUCGACUCCAUGAGGUCGGAAUCGCUAGUAAUCGCAAAUCAGAAUGUUGCGGUGAAUACGUUCCCGGGCCUUGUACACACCGCCCGUCACACCAUGGGAGUGGGUUGCACCAGAAGUAGAUAGCUUAACCUUCGGGAGGGCGUUUACCACGGUGUGAUUCAUGACUGGGGUG
rnacentral:rRNA from 1 species